rnacentral:tRNA from 1 species
AGCUCAGUUGGUAGAGCAUGGUGUUUGCAACGCCAGCGUUGUGGGUUUGAUUCCCAC